rnacentral:rRNA from 1 species
AAUACCGCAUAAGCGCACAGAGCCGCAUGGCUCAGUGUGAAAAACUCCGGUGGUGUAAGAUGGAUCCGCGUCUGAUUAGCUGGUUGGCGGGGUAGAAGCCCACCAAGGCGACGAUCAGUAGCCGGCCUGAGAGGGUGAACGGCCACAUUGGGACUGAGACACGGCCCAAACUCCUACGGGAGGCAGCAGUGGGGAAUAUUGCACAAUGGGGGAAACCCUGAUGCAGCAACGCCGCGUGAGUGAAGAAGUCAUUCGUGAUGUAAAGCUCUAUCAGCAGGGAAGAAAAUGACGGUACCUGAGUAAGAAGCCCCGGCUAACUACGUGCCAGCAGCCGCGGUAAUACGUAGGGGGCAAGCGUUAUCCGGAUUUACUGGGUGUAAAGGGAGCGUAGACGGCCAGACAAGUCUGAAGUGAAAAUCCAGCGCUUAACGUUGGAAGUGCUUUGGAAACUGCCGGGCUAGAGUGCAGGAGGGGCAGGCGGAAUUCCUAGUGUAGCGGUGAAAUGCGUAGAUAUUAGGAGGAACACCAGUGGCGAAGGCGGCCUGCUGGACUGCAACUGACGUUGAGGCUCGAAGGCGUGGGGAGCAAACAGGAUUGGAUACCCUGGUAGUCCACGCGGUAAACGAUGAUUACUAGGUGUCGGGGGGCUAGAGCCCUUCGGUGCCGUCGC